GUUCCCUUGACCACUUCAUGAGGGCUUACUUCGUUGUUUGAAGCCCUACUGAAGUGUUUGGGGGAACUC